GACGAACGCUGGCGGCGUGCCUAAUACAUGCAAGUUGAGCGAUGAAGAUUGGUGCUUGCACCAAUUUGAAGAGCAGCGAACGGGUGUGUAACGCGUGGGGAAUCUGCCUUUGAGCGGGGGACAACAUUUGGAAACGAAUGCUAAUACCGCAUAACAACUUUAAACAUAAGUUUUAAGUUUGAAAGAUGCAAUUGCAUCACUCAAAGAUGAUCCCGCGUUGUAUUAGCUAGUUGGUGAGGUAAAGGCUCACCAAGGCGAUGAUACAUAGCCGACCUGAGAGGGUGAUCGGCCACAUUGGGACUGAGACACGGCCCAAACUCCUACGGGAGGCAGCAGUAGGGAAUCUUCGGCAAUGGACGAAAGUCUGACCGAGCAACGCCGCGUGAGUGAAGAAGGUUUUCGGAUCGUAAAACUCUGUUGGUAGAGAAGAACGUUGGUGAGAGUGGAAAGCUCAUCAAGUGACGGUAACUACCCAGAAAGGGACGGCUAACUACGUG
rnacentral:rRNA from 1 species